rnacentral:rRNA from 1 species
AUUGAACGCUGGCGGCAGGCUUAACACAUGCAAGUCGAGCGGGGUGAUGGUGCUUGCACUAUCACUUAGCGGCGGACGGGUGAGUAACGCUUAGGAAUCUGCCUAUUAGUGGGGGACAACAUCUCGAAAGGGAUGCUAAUACCGCAUACGUCCUACGGGAGAAAGCAGGGGAUCACUUGUGACCUUGCGCUAAUAGACGAGCCUAAGUCGGAUUAGCUAGUUGGUGGGGGAAAGGCCUACCAAGGCGACGAUCUGUAGCGGGUCUGAGAGGAUGAUCCGCCACACUGGGACUGAGACACGGCCCAGACUCCUACGGGAGGCAGCAGUGGGGAAUAUUGGACAAUGGGGGGAACCCUGAUCCAGCCAUGCCGCGUGUGUGAAGAAGGCCUUAUGGUUGUAAAGCACUUUAAGCGAGGAGGAGGCUCUUUUGGUUAAUACCCAAGAUGAGUGGACGUUACUCGCAGAAUAAGCACCGGCUAACUCUGUGCCAGCAGCCGCCGUAA